rnacentral:rRNA from 1 species
AAUACCCUAUUAUUUUAAAAGUAAUUAAUAAAAUCUAAUUAGUAAUAGUUAAGUUCUUGAAAAUUAAAGAAUUUGGCGGUAUUUUAGUCUAUUCAGAGGAAUCUGUCCUAUAAUUGAUAAUCCACGAUUUUUUAUACCUAAUUUAUUAAUUUACAUAUCGCCGUAGUUUGAAUAUUUUUUGAAAAUUAUAAUAUUCAUAAUUUAUUUUAAUAAAAAAAAUCAGGUCAAGGUGUAGUUUAUGAUUAGGAAGAGAUGGGUUACAAUAAAAAUAUUUAUUAUGGAUUAAUUGAUUAAAUUUUUUUAUGAAGGUGGAUUUGAAAGUAAUUUUAUUUA